GUGAGGAAUAUUGCGCAAUGGACGAAAGUCUGACGCAGCCAUGCCGCGUGAAGGAUUGACGGCCCUAUGGGUUGUAAACUUCUUUUGUAUAGGAAUAAACCCUCGUUCGUGAACGAGGCUGAAGGUACUAUAAGAAUAAGCACCGGCUAACUCCGUGCCAGCAGCCGCGGUAAUACGGAGGGUGCAAGCGUUAUCCGGAUUUAUUGGGUUUAAAGGGUCCGUAGGCGGAUCGUUAAGUCAGUGGUGAAAUCCUACCGCUCAACGGUAGAACUGCCAUUGAUACUGGCGAUCUUGAGUAUGUAUGAAGUUGGCGGAAUGUGUGGUGUAGCGGUGAAAUGCUUAGAUAUCACACAGAACACCGAUUGCGAAGGCAGCUGACUAAUACACAACUGACGCUGAGGGACGAAAGUGUGGGGAUCAAACAGGAUUAGAAACCCGGGUAGUCC
rnacentral:rRNA from 1 species